UACGAAGGGGGCUAGCGUUGUUCGGAUUUACUGGGCGUAAAGCGCACGUAGGCGGAUCGAUCAGUCAGGGGUGAAAUCCCAGAGCUCAACUCUGGAACUGCCUUUGAUACUGUCGAUCUGGAGUAUGGAAGAGGUGAGUGGAAUUCCGAGUGUAGAGGUGAAAUUCGUAGAUAUUCGCAAGAACACCAGUGGCGAAGGCGGCUCACUGGCCCGAUACUGACGCUGAGGCACGAAAGCGUGGGGAGCAAACAGG
rnacentral:rRNA from 1 species